rnacentral:rRNA from 1 species
UAGGGAAUCUUCGGCAAUGGACGAAAGUCUGACCGAGCAACGCCGCGUGAGUGAAGAAGGUUUUCGAAUCGUAAAACUCUGUUGGUAGAGAAGAACGUUGGUGAGAGUGGAAAGCUCAUCAAGUGACGGUAACUACCCAGAAGGGGACGGCUAACUACGUGCCAC